GACGAACGCUGGCGGCGUGCUUAACACAUGCAAGUCGAACGGAAAGGCCCUGCUUGCAGGGUACUCGAGUGGCGAACGGGUGAGUAACACGUGGGUGAUCUGCCCUGCACUUCGGGAUAAGCCUGGGAAACUGGGUCUAAUACCGGAUAGGAGCCAUUUUUAGUGUGAUGGUUGGAAAGUUUUUUCGGUGUAGGAUGAGCUCGCGGCCUAUCAGCUUGUUGGUGGGGGAAUGGCCUACCAAGGCGGCGACGGGUAGCCGGCCUGAGGGGGUGGACGGCCACAUUGGGACUGGGAUACGGCCCAGACUCCUACGGGGAGCAACAGUGGGGAAUAUUGCACAAUGGGCGCGAGCCUGAUGCAGCGACGCCGCGUGGGGGAUGACGGCCUUCGGGUUGUAAACUCCUUUCGCUAGGGACGAAGCUUUUUGUGACGGUACCUAGAUAAGAAGCACCGGCUAACUACGUG
rnacentral:rRNA from 1 species